rnacentral:rRNA from 1 species
UACGGGGGGGGGUAAGCGUUGCUCGGAAUCACUGGGCGUAAAGCGCACGUAGGCGGCUCUUUAAGUCAGGGGUGAAAUCCUGGAGCUCAACUCCAGAACUGCCUUUGAUACUGAGGAGCUCGAGUCCGGGAGAGGUGAGUGGAACUGCGAGUGUAGAGGUGAAAUUCGUAGAUAUUCGCAAGAACACCAGUGGCGAAGGCGGCUCACUGGCCCGAUACUGACGCUGAGGCACGAAAGCGUGGGGAGCAAACAGGG